rnacentral:lncRNA from 1 species
AAAAAGGCCGCAUCAUUCAGUAUCUACGCACAUUCAGAGAUUUUUGCGGAGAAGACGAGCCAAGCCAACUUCGAACUGUUUUUUUAGUCAAUUUCGAGCCGUUUUAGAGACGAGUAUGAACCGUUUUAGAGCCUAAUCCAAAUCGUUUUAGAACCAAAUCUAAGUUGUUUUAAAGUCGAGUCGAGCCAUUUUGAGCCAAGUCGAGCCGUUUUAGAGUCGAGUCAAGCCGUUUUGAGUCGAACUGAGCCAUUUUGAGUCGAGUCAAG